rnacentral:rRNA from 1 species
AUGCAUAGUUGGUUUGCAAGUAGUUCAAAUACACUUCCUAUUGUUCCUGAAUCCAAUGUUGCCCCAAUUAAUGUUAUUGUUCAGCCUACCCCCAUAGAGAACAUAAUCCCCGAUGAUCCAACAAACGAGAGCACUAAUCCCUCGGUUGAUGAGAGCACCAAUCCCACUUCAAAUGAGAGAACCAAUCCCCCAACCGAUGAGAGCACAAACCAACCAGCACCACCAACACAAUAUAUAUUAGAAUUUCAUCCAAGUCAGAUUUUUGGUGAUCCGGCGGAUCGAAUACCAAUAGAAGAUUAUGCCCCUAAAAUUCGAAGUGAAGUGAGAAGAGCUUAUUUGUUGAAAGAGCGAAACAAAGCAAGUGGGCAUAAAUUUGAAGUCACAUUGGAUGGUAAAAUUUGGAGAUCUUUUCAACCAUAAUGGCUAGAUAGGUUUGUUUGGUUGGAAUAUAGUGUCGCAGAGGAGGCUGCCUUUUGCUUCCCUUGUUUUCUUUUCAAGAAACCAUCACAUGCUGCUACAUUUGGAAAUGACGUAUUUACCAUAGAUGGUUACAAACGCUGGAAAACAGCUUUCGCAAGUUUUCAAAAACAUGUUGGUGGUCCAUCUAGUUACCACAACAUUGCUAGAGGCUCGUGUGAUGAUUUCAAGAAUCAAAGGGCCAAUGUGGCUACCAAAUUCCGAGCACAUACUAAAGAAUCUGAAAUAAAAUAUAAAAUCCGUUUGACUGCAUCAUUAGAUUGUGCAAGGUAUCUCAUAUCUCAAGGGGAAGCUUUUCGUGGACAUGAUGAGUCCUCCGAUUCCGUAAACAAAGGCAAUUUCACGGAGUUCUUGGAUUGGUACAAAGAUAAGAAUAAAGAUGUGAAAGAUGCAUUUGACAAUGGGCAAGGUAAUGCACUUAUGAUAUGUUCACAGAUUCAAAAGGACCUUGCUACAUGUUGUGCUUUGGAGGUAACCAAAGUCAUCAAGAAUGAGCUUGAAGAUAAGAAUUUUGUGAUACUUGUUCAUGAGGCUAGAGAUUGCUCAAUGAAGGAGCAAAUGGCAAUAAUUUUGAGAUUUUUGGAUGAUAGUGGGGAGCUUCAGGAGAGAUUUCUUGCUAUUAAGCACAUCACAGAUUGCACAUCUGCCGGAAUUAAAGAAGCAUUGUUUUAUGUCUCAAAGUACCAUGGCUUGUCUAAUAAUAGGCUACGUGGACAGGGUUAUGAUGGGGCUUCAAACAUGAGAGGAGAAUUCAUUGGUUUGCAAAAGCUAAUUCGUGAUGAGAGUCCAUAUGCUUUCUAUGUUCACUGUUUUGCCAAUCAAUUGCAACUAGUGGUUGUCACAGUGGCUCAAUGUUGUCCGGUUAUUGCUGAUUUUUUCAACUUUCUUCCCUUGAUAGUGACUCCAGAGGGUUCAUCCUGCAAAAGAAAAGAUUCAUUGCUUGCAAAGCAUCAAGAUGACUUGAUAGAGAUGAUGGAGAAUUGUAAGAUAUCAUCUGGAACUGGUUUACAUUAAGAAACUAACCUAGCUAGACCAGGAGCUACUCGUUGGGGCUCACAUCUUAGAACCUUGCUUCGUGUUUACACAAUGUGGAAUGCAGUGGUGGAUGUGCUUGCAAUUGUGAUUGAGGAUGCCCGGGAACACACUUCUCAAGGUGGAGCUUCAGGUUUGUUGGUACAGAUGGAAUGCUUCCAAUUUGUGUUCAUCAUGAUAUUCUUAAUAAACUUGUUGAACAUCACAAAUAUGCUAUCACAAGCUUGA